rnacentral:pre_miRNA from 1 species
AAUAAACCAAUUUUUCACUUUUUAGCUACAAUGUAUGACGCUUCGUUUUAUUCAAAAAUAUUUACGAUUAAUAUUUUUAUUUUUAUUAGAUGAUAAAUCAUGAACAGUACUUUAUGUGUGACUAAUUUCUUUUAGUUUCUUAAAUUUUUUUCAAAUAAGACGGAUGGUCAAACGUUAGACACAGGUAGUCAAAAGUUUGUCUUAUU